GGAAUAUCUCUUCUAUUGGAAUAUUGGAUUUACGGAUGUCAAUCGACGACGGCAGGCGUUGCAGUUUUCCGGUCACGAUCUUGGAAAAUUGUGUGGAUGAUGCUGUUCUUGUGAUCAUAGCGGGAAAUCGAGGUGCUUCAUCAUGAAAAAAAAUUAUUUCCAUUUCUCAACCAUCGUCGUCAUCUAAAAACAGAAGAUCCCUCUCUCGAUUGCUCUUCUCUUUGACGUCUCGUCACAGCUCGUGAAUUAAUGCGAACGUCUUUAUCGUCGUGCCGGUGGAUGGGCGUUUUUUGUCCGACGAUAAAAGAGCUGUCAAACGCAAGACAAAUGGAUCUCGACAGAAUGCAGUUGAGUUAUGAAUUAUAAGCGGGAGCUGAAACU